UACGUAGGGUGCAAGCGUUAAUCGGAAUUACUGGGCGUAAAGCGUGCGCAGGCGGUUGUGCAAGACAGAUGUGAAAUCCCCGGGCUCAACCUGGGAAUUGCAUUUGUGACUGCACGGCUAGAGUGUGUCAGAGGGGGGUAGAAUUCCACGUGUAGCAGUGAAAUGCGUAGAGAUGUGGAGGAAUACCGAUGGCGAAGGCAGCCCCCUGGACCGACACUGACGCUGAGGAGCGAAAGCCAGGGGAGCAAACGGG
rnacentral:rRNA from 1 species